rnacentral:rRNA from 1 species
GACGAACGCUGGCGGCGUGGAUUAGGCAUGCAAGUCGAACGGUAGAUAUCCUUCGGGGUAUUGAGAGUGGCGAACGGGUGAGUAACACGUAGGUAAUCUACCCUCAAAUCGGGGACAACCCAGGGAAACUUGGGCUAAUACCGGAUGAGGUGCAGCACCUAAAUCAUCCAUACGGAAUCUGGUUAAAGAUUGGGUUUUGUAUGGUUGGGUGAUUUAGGUGCUGUAUAAAAGAUGGCUUCGGCUGUCGUUUGAGGAUGAGCCUGCGCUCUAUUAGUUAGUUGGUGAGGUAAUGGCUCACCAAGGCGAUGAUAGAUAGGCGGCCUUAACGGGUGGUCGCCCACACUGGGAUUGAGAUACGGCCCAGACUCCUACGGGAGGCAGCAGUCGAGAAUAGUCUACAAUGGACGAAAGUCUGAUAGUGCGACGCCGCGUGAACGAUG